rnacentral:lncRNA from 1 species
GGAAAGGUGAGGUGCACACGUGCAUGAGCAUUUCCCCGUGGAACACGGUCCACUUUUCCCGGCUCCGCGCAGGAACCACCGUGGUGGGGUGCUGACUACAGCAAGGAGUCCCGGACGACUCCAGCAGUGGAAACCUUUAUUCCUGUCCAGGAGUUUACAUCAAGGAGACGGGUGUUGGACGCCUGGUGGCCCGGUGUGUGACUCUGGCAGAGAGGAAGAAGAGAAUCCCUGGUAAGGGGGCCAGUGGUUGCCGACACCCAGCCCUGCC